UGGGGAAUUUUGGGCAAUGGGCGAAAGCCUGAUCCAGCAAUGCCGCGUGUGUGAAGAAGGCCUUCGGGUUGUAAAGCACUUUUGUCCGGAAAGAAAUCCUUGGCUCUAAUACAGUCGGGGGAUGACGGUACCGGAAGAAUAAGCACCGGCUAACUACGUGCCAGCAGCCGCGGUAAUACGUAGGGUGCAAGCGUUAAUCGGAAUUACUGGGCGUAAAGCGUGCGCAGGCGGUUUGCUAAGACCGAUGUGAAAUCCCCGGGCUCAACCUGGGAACUGCAUUGGUGACUGGCAGGCUAGAGUAUGGCAGAGGGGGGUAGAAUUCCACGUGUAGCAGUGAAAUGCGUAGAGAUGUGGAGGAAUACCGAUGGCGAAGGCAGCCCCCUGGGCCAAUACUGACGCUCAUGCACGAAAGCGUGGGGAGCAAACAGGAUUAGAUACCCUGGUAGUCCACGCCCUAAACGAUGUCAACUGGUUGUUGGGGAUUCAUUUCCCUAGUAACGUAGCUAACGCGUGAAGUUGACCGCCUGGGGAGUACGGUCGCAAGAUUAAAACUUAAAUGAAUUGACGGGGUCAUAGCUGUUUCCU
rnacentral:rRNA from 1 species